CAGUAGUGUGAAUAAGUGUUCGCUCCCUUCCCGAGUUCUUAUUUUUUUGCAUGUUUGUCACGCUUGUUGUUGAUGUUUCCCAUCAUCAAACACAUUUAAAUAUUCGUCAAAGUCAACACAAGUAAACCCAAAAUGCAGUUUUAAAUUAACGUUUUUAUUAUUAAGGGAGAAAAAAUAAGACUGCCACACCUGUUCUCAAUGAAGAAAUCACUUGAAAAGGAACUGCCUGACAAAGUGAAGUAGACCAAAAGGUCCUGGAACAGAUGGGAAGAACUGCAUUUAGAUAGUCCAUCUCCCUGUCUAACAGAGAAGUAGUGCUUUGCCCGCAUCUUGUGGCAUCUAGAGACAAUUAAACCUUUUUUUGGAGGGGGGGUCCAAAAAAGAGGAAGUGGUGACCUUUCACAAAGACAGGUGCACUCGCUUAUUUGCAUGAGUUUCUGCGCUUCGCUGCUCCGCCAAUUCUUCAUAAGUCUGCACAACUCUUGUCACACAAACUCCACUUGCAACCCGAGUCAGGAUGUGGUCACCCGCACUGUUGCUCGUCCUGCUGAUCAAAGGAUCUUCUGCCGCUGAGUUUCUGAGGCAGACGGACAGAAUGAAGUCCGUCUCUCUUGGAGGGACGUUGACCAUUGGCGCCACAGGGAGUUCAGACAUUGGUAGCGAUCUCAGUUGGUACCAAGUGAAACCUGGGCAGGCUCCCAAACUGCUCAUCUACCAUGUAUCCACUCGCUUCUCUGGCACGCCAUCUCGAUUCAGCGGCACACAAUCUGGCUCUGACUACACUCUGACCAUCAGUGGUGUCCAGGCAGAAGACGUGGCUGAUUACUACUGUCUCGGCUAUCACGGCAGUGGAAGGUACACACGGUGAUUCAGAGCCGUACAAAAACCUCUUUCGACUUUGAGCGAAGUGAAAGCGGCCUGCAGAAUGUGGCAAGGGGAAAGCAGAAGACACACUGAAUGAUGAGCAUGACUGGUCGUCAAGCUAAUGAAUCACUCAAGCUGACUGACAACAUUAUAUUUAUAUUAUUAUUUCUAUUUUCAAUAUUUGUAUUUUUGUAUAUGAAUGAGUGGUUAUUAUUUAUUUUUCUCAGGGACAAAAUAUGUUUCUUUAUUUAUUUAUUUUACUUGAAUUAUGUAUUAAUUUUAUUUAACCAACAUAAUAAACUACAUUUAUGUGUCACAA